rnacentral:tRNA from 1 species
GGGGGGGUGGCGGAACUGGCAGACGCCCGGGAUUUAAAAUCCUGUGACCCUUGGUCGUCCGGGUUCGAUCCCCGGUCCCCUCACUA